GUAAAUUCUCACCAGUAGCGCACGGCUCUUUAAUCAGAGCCAUUCCCCUAGACCCAAAACAAUUGGAAUAGUUUUGGGUCUUUUUUU
rnacentral:sRNA from 1 species